rnacentral:rRNA from 1 species
AUGGGUUCGCCUACCCGCACACGCCCAAGCAGCAGCAGCGACAAGAGGGGCGGCGCGCCGACGAUGCGGCUCGUGUGGGCGUUCCUCGCCGUGCUGCUGCUGGUCCUGCUCCGCUGCUCGCCGUGCCAAGGCCGCAAGCUGCCGGUGGCGGACCAGGAGCAGGGUGGCAAGGUGAUGCACUUCGAAGGCGGCCUGGUGCUCAGAGUGUCACCGAGCCACGACGGCGAGGCGGCAUCGGCGGCGGCGGCACCGAGAGGGUUCUCGAGGGCCGCGCGGUCCAUGCGGUCCGUGCCGAGCCCCGGCGUCGGGCACUAA